UGUGUGUGUGUGUGUUUUAACACCUCGCCUCCCUGCCUGGAUUCUUACUGCGUAAGGGGUAUGCUGUCAGGGCAUUCAUCUCCGAAAGCUGGAGUGAUUGUUAAUGGAGAACGACUUCCAUUGAAGCCCAGGGUAGGCGUGUUACAUGAAUCUGGCGCAGCCAGAACGGAGGAAAUAACUCCCGCUGCGAGUGAGGUUGCAUAACUAUACCGCAGGAGAUGCUUCUAUGGCACGAACUGCACCGAACGGAGGCGGACCGAUUGGAUAGACAGCUGUCAUGAAUGCAUUGUUAGAGGACAAUGUAUGCAUUCAUCUCAAAAGGUUUUUGCACAGAAAUCUACUGGGGUUGUGGGCUGGAGCCUAAGGUCAGCCCAGCCACAGGAGUCAGAGCUCCUGGCUCUGCAAAUUCUAUUAUCUCUUCUCUAUUUAGAAAACCAGCCUUUACAUGAACCGGCCUAGGGGACUGAAUCCCAAGCGCUCCCAAGUUCCUGAUGCAUCUUCCCGGAUUUAAGUCUAGCCCUGCGUGCAAUGUUUUUCUCUUCCUUCUCAGGUUUGUGCGAGCUAAGAAUGAAGGUUGCCGCCGGUGCCACAUUGGAGAGAACAAUUGUCGAGGAAGAAAUGAAGUUGAGAGAACCUCGCAACAAGGCAGCACUCUUCUGCCAUCCCUCUAGGAAACGCAGGAUUGUUGUUCUGAGAAUGAGCGUGCACAGUAGUGCACUGAUAACAGUGUUUUGCAUGUAGCAGGUGCUUAAUAAAUGUUCAACGAAUGAACAAAGGCGCUAAACCAGUCAGUGUGCCCCAAAACCACCCGAUUGAUUUCUGAGGACUACUGUUAACCAGUUAGACUGCUCAAGUUUCAAUCAAGUCCCAUCAGAGCUCAAAGUCUUCUAUGCUGAAGCAGUCAGAAAUGGUGCUACUGCUUAGAGCCAAGAGAUCUUCUAGUCUGUCAAUCACUGGCGGCUCUAUAGAGGCCUCAACUGAUCUAUCUGGGUGUCUGGACCUUAGGAGGUAAAGAGGCAUGGUAACCAAAGACAAUGUGUGAGGCCUUAUUUGGAUCGUGACUUGAACAAAUAUUUUUAAAUUUGGGACAACGGGAGAAAUUUGAACAUUAACUGGAGAUUUGAUGAUAACAAGGAAUUCUUUUUUAAGUAUUGGUUUAUGGCUGUGUUUUCUUUAAGUCCUUACCAUUCAGAAAUAUGUACCCUAAAAUAUUUAGAGAUGAAAUGUUAUGCUUCAGAAUAAUCCACUGGGGUGAGGCAUAGGAAGAAUGAGUAAGGAUAUAGAUGAAACAAGAUUGAUUAUAGAUUAAUGAUGAACACCUUCUGUUUACUAUUUUAUAAUUUAAAAUGUUCUGUAACAAUUUUUUUAAAAUACACUGCAAGUACUUACUUAAAAUGCAGAUUCCUAGACCUCAGCUCAGAAAUUGUGAUCACUAGGUCUGUAAUGGGGCCAACCGUGCUUUUCUAAGUCUGCUAGGUACUUGGCCCUUUUUAGUCCUUCAUUGUCUACUCCCCAUUUCCUUGCAACCAUUUUUGUCAUCUCGUCCCCCAGCACAUCCCUGAUUGAAAGCUGUGUUCCAGCAACACAGAAAAGGGUAGCCCAUGGUAUAUCAUAAGCUUAGAUAGAUACUGAUCAAGGCCAGAGGGCUAGUUCAGUUCAGAAAGGUAGAUCCAGCCAAACUUGAAAAGCUAUGUGAGAAUCUAAAUACAGAUCACAGUUCUGUCUUAAGUGCCAACUCCGUUCAAUUAGUACUAGUCAAGAAGAAUUCCAUGGCCACAUUAGGGCUCAGCAAGAAAAGAAAUACUUAUAUAUGCUCAGUUGUGUUUUGUAGGUGGACCUGUGGGAAGGAAGCUAGUCACAAAACCGGUUAUCACAACUAUCUGUAUUAUUGUGCUCAGCUUUAGGAAUUAGUCACAACCGUUUGAUGACCUGUUAGAAGUAAUUAAUUAUCAAUAGCAUAAUUGGGCCAAAGAGGGAGGAACAGGAGCACAAUUGCCAAGUAAUUGCCAGUAUAGGAUCUGAUCCAAGUUAAGAAAGGCACAAGUGGAUUCUGAGUUCCUUGUAGGUAUCAGACCAGGGUUUCUUCACAAGGACAGCAAAAUGUAGGCUAUUCUCACUGAGACGCUGGCAGAUGACAUGCCCUUCUCCAAAUCAGUUUCUUUUCUUUUUUUCACAUUGCUCAGGCCAUAGUAAUCAUUUUUCUUAUGAAUUCAGACUUGGUCUUCUCAGAUUAUUUUUCCCUUUGCUGUUUACACUUGUGUUGCUAAUUAUUAUUAUAUUAUUGCUGAUUCAUUUUUUAUGAGUUUAUAUUUGUUUUCCGAGUUAAAUUUUCGUGACUGGAAGGUAGAGGCUGCCCUUCAUAUUUUUGGCAUCCUUUUUAGCAGUGGUUUUAAGUAAUAGAUGCUUUUUAGGUGAAACACUAUGCCAAGGCCUGGAUUAUGUAUAAAAAGGAAGCUGUACUGACUCACACUGGAGUAGAAAUCAGGAAUCCUCUCUGGCUUCCCAUUGGGAUUUAAUACUACUGCAGUUUAGCAUUUCACAUACACUGUGCCUUGUACUAUAAGCUCUCAGCAGAUAUUUGUAUUCUUGAGAAGCCAAAAGACAACCAGGCCAACAUGUGAGUUUCUAAAAGUACAUAAAAUACAAGUGCACAUUUGCAUUUCUAAAAUUACCCUUAACAUUACUCCUUAGCAGAUGUAAUUAAAACUUUGUAUUUUAAAACGAGUUAAUGUAUGCAUAGAUCAAUGGAAGCUCCCUACUUUCAUGGUGUACUUUGUUUAAUAAAUGUUUUUUGUUGUUGUUUUUUUUUUUUAGUUUAACCAGUCUCAGGGCUAAUGAGCCCUGCCUCUCAGUGGAAUUACUAAGUGGUAACCAUGUUUCUAAAUAGUUUCCUUGCCUCUGGCAUGAGUCUGCUGCUCCAUCACUAGGAUUUCCAUGUUCUUUCAAACUAAUACAAAGUAUAAAGGAUAAGUAUGCUAUUUUCCUUUUAUCCCUAAGGACUGCAAUUGUUGGCUUGGUAGUAUCCGGUGAGUGUGAAAUCAGUUUACUUUUAGUGCUAUAACUGCCUUUUACAGGAAGUUUCCACAAGAUUAGGAUGAGUACAAGGGAAAUGAGCAGGCUGCAAUUUCCUUUAUUUUCUGUAUAAUCUUAGCAGGGAGGAUGCUUACCAGACCCUACACUGCUAAAUAAAGCACUUACCAUUAUUCUUCCAAAUGGCUUUAGAAUGCUCAUUCUUUAAAGGUUAUAUCCCACUACAACAAAUAUGAAGGAUUGAAAUACCCGUCAUAAAAGAAUCCAAGACCACAUGCAAUACAAAUUUGGUACAACAAAAGAUUAUAGGUUGGUUCCUUGGAUUUCGCUUCAAGUAUGGCAUUGCCUUCUCUUUUAAUGACUGCUAAUUAACCAUUGUAUAGGAUUACAACAGGAUUACAUUUAAAAAGUACAUUGCCCUUCAGGAACUUACCUUCCUAACACCCUUGGCCAGUAGGUAUUAUUAUUAACUCCAAUUUACAAAGUGACUUGCAAACAAGAUCAGAGAGGUCCCAGAGGUUACACAGUAGUAAAGGCAUGGCUCGAGGUCAAACCCAUAUCAUCCUCUCCUUCAAAAUUCUGUGUGCAUG